GACGAACGCUGGCGGCGUGCUUAACACAUGCAAGUCGAGCGGAAAGGCCACUUCGGUGGUACUCGAGCGGCGAACGGGUGAGUAACACGUGAGUAAUCUGCCCCUUACUCAGGGAUAACCAUUGGAAACGGUGGCUAAUACCUGAUAUGACCACGUCUCGCAUGGGGUGUGGUGGAAAGCGUUUAGUGGUGAGGGAUGUGCGUGCGGCCUAUCAGCGUGUUGGUGAGGUAGUGGCUCACCAAGGCUUCGACGGGUAGCCGGCCUGAGAGGGUGACCGGCCACACUGGGACUGAGACACGGCCCAGACUCCUACGGGAGGCAGCAGUGGGGAAUAUUGGACAAUGGGCGAAAGCCUGAUCCAGCAACGCCGCGUGAGGGAUGACGGCCUUCGGGUUGUAAACCUCUUUCACCCAUGACGAAGCGCAAGCGGCGGUAGUGGGAGAAGAAGGACCGGCCAACUACGUGCCAGCAGCCGCGGUAACAC
rnacentral:rRNA from 1 species